CUGCCGGUGGACUACUAAACUCUUGUUAUUUUAUGUAAUCUGAGCGUCUUAUUUUAAUAAGUCAAAACUUUCAACAACGGAUCUCUUGGUUCUGGCAUCGAUGAAGAACGCAGCGAAAUGCGAUAAGUAAUGUGAAUUGCAGAAUUCAGUGAAUCAUCGAAUCUUUGAACGCACAUUGCGCCCAUUAGUAUUCUAGUGGGCAUGCCUGUUCGAGCGUCAUUUCAACCCUUAAGCCUAGCUUAGUGUUGGGAAUUUACAGUUAUGUAAUUCCUGAAAUGCAACGGCGGAUCUGUGGUAUCCUCUGAGCGUAGUAAAUUAUUUCUCGCUUCUGCGCAGGUGCUGCAGCUGCCCAACCNC
rnacentral:rRNA from 1 species